GCCUGGCUGGCUCAGUUGGUAGAGCAUGGGACUCUUGAUCUCAGGGUUGUGAGUUCAAGCCUCACACUGGGUG
rnacentral:tRNA from 2 species